rnacentral:lncRNA from 1 species
CUUUGAUAAAGAGUAUUACAGAAAAUUUUAAUUUUCUUCUUUUUGCUGUUUUCUAAAUGGUCACACCUUUUUCUCGGCUAUAUUUCCAAAAGUCUAAACUGAAACAUAAAUUAUAAUGAGAAGAAAAACAAUAAAGGUUAUUAUUUUUAAAACACUAGAGCUGAAUCUCAGCUACCUAUCUAGAUCUCUUGGCCUGAGCCCUGGACCCAGCUAAAAAUAGUUCAGAGCCUUGCCAGCUGGGAGCUGGGCUAUGUUUAGCAGAAACUGGCACACGAGUGAAAUGGGGUGGAGCCAAGUAGACACUUUGGAUCCGGUAGGCAUAGCUCUCCCACAGGAGACUGUUUAGGCCAUGCCUGGCAUCAGUAACUCAGGCUGUUUCCCACACUACAGGCCAGCACUGUGGGCUCUCAGUUUAUUGGGAAAUGGAAAUAAGAGGGAAGGACAAAAGUCCACUGGGAAGCAGACUGGACAGAAAGGAACUCUGAGCAGCUAAACUCUGACUAAUCCCAGGGUAUACCUGCGUUUUCUCUUCACCAGACAGGAGUUUCACUCGUUGCCCAGGCUGGAGUGCAACGGCGCGAUCUCAGCUCACUGCAACCUCCGCCUCCCCAGUUCAAGCGAUUCUCCUGCCUCAGCCUCCUGAGUCACUGGAAUUACGGGCGCCUGACACCACGCCCAGCUAAUUUUUUGUAUUUUUAGUAGACAUGGGGUUUCACUAUGUUGGCCAGGCUGGUCUCGAACUCCUGACCUCAUGAUCCUCCUGCCUCAGCCUCCCAAAGCACUGGGAUUACAGGUGUGAGCCACUGUGCCUGGUCCAUUAAAAACAUUUGUAAAGCUAUGGUGUUGAUAAAGUAUUAUGAAAGACUGCAAAAAAAGAUGGCUAAUUUUUAGUUAUUAUUGCACAUGUUUAGAGGAGCUAAUGACAUUUUCUAUGAUUAAUAAAAGACAUUAUUUAUGUUUUUAUUUAUGUAUUCCACAACAUUUAUUUUAUUUUCUCCAUUUCAGGAAAACCACUAUGUUGUUACAAUAAAGAUUUUCAUGUAAUUUGUGUUCAAUUGAUAGUAAUAAUGUAACAAGUUAAAAAUGAAGGUAAUUGUGUUUAAAAUUUGAGCAUAUUUUCAUCAAAAUGUAAGUUAAAGUGAUUGUAAAUUUUAAGAUCAUAAUUACUUUGUAUAUCUUCAAGAAAAUUAUUGUUUUAAAAUAUUUAUGCCUAUUAAAAUUAGAAGGCAAAAUAAAAAUAUAUGAAUACCAACAU